AAGAGCCGUAUGAUGGGAGACUAUCACGUACGGUUCUGUGAGAAACUCGGGGGGGGGGGGAGGUUCCCCGGGUUUUCCUCACCCCCC
rnacentral:ncRNA from 1 species